UAGAAAUCUGACAUAAUGUUAUUUAAAAUAAAAUAAAAUUACACAUAUACAUGCAAACUAAUUAUUGCACAUUAAAGGAAACACUUCUUCCACGUCAUCUCCCUCGUCUUUUCCAUCGCCUACCCCACCUCGCCACCACAUAUGCCCGCUUCACCCGCGGGCUUCAUAAUUGGUAUGCAGAAAAUUAAAAUCUUAAUUUAUUUCUAAUGCAAAAUUAUGGUAGAAAAAUCAAAUCUUUUUAACUACUAAUUGUGUUCCAAUUCAAGUGAGACAAAGCUAAAACUCAAUUCCAAAAGUUUCUAAACAAAACCAUAGCCGGUGAAACCUAUUAGAGUAUAUAUUUAUUUUGGAGAAUUCUUCAUCAUCUCUUGGUAAUUUCCUUCAUAUUCCUCACAAGUUGUAGUGUGAUAAUGAAAGUGCCUUUGUCUUGGCCAACAAUCCGAUCUUUCAUGCAAGGACAAAACAUAUAGAGGUAGAUGUCCAUUGUAUCCUAGAGAAAAUAGUGGAUAAGACUAUUGAGGUAGGACAUGUUCCUUCACACGAUCAGAUUGUCGAUGUGUUUACAAAACGAUUAGCUGAUUCUAGAUUAUGUAUGUAAGUUAGAGAAAUCAAUUUAUGGUUUGAAGCAGGCUCCUCGGGCAUGGUAUGAUACACUUAGAACAAAGAUAUAUAAGCUUGGUUUUCAAAGAUCAACAUCUGACUUCUCACGUUUCUUCUAUGAAAAAGAUUGGGCUAGCUGCCUAGAUGGUAGAAGGUCCACAGGAGGCCACUGUAUAUUGUUGGGCUCCAAUCUCAUUAUGUGAUCAGCUAAGAAACAAGAAGUUGUCUCCUGUAGCAGUGCUAAAUCAGAAUAUAGAAGUGUGGCCAAUGUCACUACUGAUAUAAUUUAGCUAAAGGGGUUGUGUACAGAACUUGGUAUUUUCCUUCAUACUCCUCACAAGUUGUAGUGUGAUAAUGAAAGUGCCCUUACCUUGGUCAACAAUCCAAUCUUUCAUGCAAGGACAAAACAUAUAGAGUGGAUAAGACUAUUGAAAUAGGACAUGUUCCUUCACACGAUCAGAUUGCCGAUUGGUUUACGAAACAUUAGCUGAUUCCAGAUUUUGCCAACUACGUGAUCGGUUGAAUCACUCUAGCAGUGACCAUGGUUAAGUUUCUUUUGGGAUGUAUUCGAGUAUACAUUUAUUCUGGAGAGUUCUUCAUCUCCACGUCAGCAAGUCAGUAGAGUCAAAGUUGUUAUGAGUUAGUGUGAUGAGUUAGUCAGCUAGAAAAGUUAGUUUUUAGUUUUCAUCUGCAUAGCUUAUCUCGUUUCAAUCUUGUAUAAAUAGGUAGUUAGCUUAGUUAAUCUAAAUUUUUCAAUCAAUUAAUUUAGAUAUUUUUCACAUCUCUCUCUUAAUCUCAGCUUAGAUCAACUCUCAAGAAAACCAUCCCAUUUUUUACCUCGUCUAGUUCGAAAGCCUUUUCCCCAAACCUGCAAAAGCCAAUUCAAGCAUCACUUAAUCCAAUAACUUGCCGGAAACUUCUCUGAUAGACGUUGUCUCCUCCCUGACUUCUCCGUCGUCAACAUGCUUUAUCAAAACUCAAACGUUGUCAAUUAUGACACAAAGGGGGGAAGUUCUUACAAGCUGUGAUGCGGACCGACCCGCUUCUUCAGGUGCUUCUUGUCACCGACCCGCUUUCAACGUGGCAGAAUUCGUCGCAGUUUCAGCCUCUUCACAUACGCCCUUUUAUCCAUCAAUGGCAACUAUUAAACCUUUUGUGGAGUUCUUUUUUUAAUGUUCAAUCAUAAAUUUGUAUGCAUAUGCGUAGUUUUAUUUUAUUUAAAUAAUGUCAUGUCCAGUUUUCAGGGUCCA